UAAUCCUUUUGAUUAUUGCAUGUUCC
rnacentral:piRNA from 1 species